rnacentral:rRNA from 1 species
UACAGGGGGUGCAAGCGUUGCUCGGAAUCAUUGGGCGUAAAGCGCACGUAGGCGGUUCGUUAUGUCGGAUGUGAAAGCCCUUGGCUUAACCGAGGAAGUGCAUCCGAAACUGGCGAGCUAGAGUACUAAAGAGGAUCGCGGAAUUCCCGGUGUAGAGGUGAAAUUCGUAGAUAUCAAGUGGAACACCAGUGGCGAAGGCGAGUCUCUGGACAUUUCCUGACGCUGAGGCACGAAAGCCAGGGGAGCAAACGGG